GGUUUAUUUUGAUUGAUCCGAAAUGCAGCUUCACAGAAAACUGUCUGUGAGGCUGCUUGUCUUUUCAGGAA
rnacentral:miRNA from 1 species